rnacentral:rRNA from 1 species
ACGCUGGCGGCAGGCCUAACACAUGCAAGUCGAGCGGAAACGACACUAACAAUCCUUCGGGUGCGUUAAUGGGCGUCGAGCGGCGGACGGGUGAGUAAUGCCUAGGAAAUUGCCUUGAUGUGGGGGAUAACCAUUGGAAACGAUGGCUAAUACCGCAUAAUGCCUACGGGCCAAAGAGGGGGAUCUUCGGACCUCUCGCGUCAAGAUAUGCCUAGGUGGGAUUAGCUAGUUGGUGAGGUAAUGGCUCACCAAGGCGACGAUCCCUAGCUGGUCUGAGAGGAUGAUCAGCCACACUGGAACUGAGACACGGUCCAGACUCCUACGGGAGGCAGCAGUGGGGAAUAUUGCACAAUGGGCGAAAGCCUGAUGCAGCCAUGCCGCGUGUAUGAAGAAGGCCUUCGGGUUGUAAAGUACUUUCAGUUGUGAGGAAGGGUGURUMGUUAAUAGCUKYRKMUCUUGACGUUAGCAACAGAAGAAGCACCGGCUAACUCCGUGCCAGCAGCCGCGGUAAUACGGAGGGUGCGAGCGUUAAUCGGAAUUACUGGGCGUAAAGCGCAUGCAGGUGGUUCAUUAAGUCAGAUGUGAAAGCCCGGGGCUCAACCUCGGAACUGCAUUUGAAACUGGUGAACUAGAGUGCUGUAGAGGGGGGUAGAAUUUCAGGUGUAGCGGUGAAAUGCGUAGAGAUCUGAAGGAAUACCAGUGGCGAAGGCGGCCCCCUGGACA